rnacentral:rRNA from 1 species
CACGUAGGGCGCAAGCGUUGUCCGGAAUUAUUGGGCGUAAAGAGCUCGUAGGCGGUCUGUUACGUCUGCUGUGAAAACCCAGGGCUUAACCCUGGGCUUGCAGUGGAUACGGGCAGACUAGAGGCAGGUAGGGGAGAAUGGAAUUCCCGGUGUAGCGGUGAAAUGCGCAGAUAUCGGGAGGAACACCAGUGGCGAAGGCGGCUACCUGGACCAGCACUGACACUGAAGCACGAAAGCGUGGGGAGCAAACAGG